rnacentral:rRNA from 1 species
CAAAAACAUGUCCUUUUGAUUAAGAUUAAAGGUCUUGCCUGCCCAAUGAUUAAUUUUAAUGGCCGCAGUAUUUUGACUGUGCAAAGGUAGCAUAAUCAUUAGUUUCUUAAUUAGAAGCUGGAAUGAAUGGUUUGAUGAAAAAUUUUCUGUCUCAAUAAGAUUUUAUUAGAAUUUAAAUUUUAAGUUAAAAUGCUUAAAUAAUUUAAAAAGACGAGAAGACCCUAUAGAGUUUAAUAAUUGGUUAUUAACAUAUAUUUUUGAUUUUAUUAGUAAUUUUUAAUUAAUUAUUUUGUUGGGGUGAUAUAAAAAUUAAAAUAACUUUUUAUUUAUUUAAACAUUAAUUUAUGAACGUUUGAUCUUUACUUUGGGAUUAAAAGAUUAAAUUACCUUAGGGAUAACAGCGUAAUUUUUUUGGAAAGUUCUUAUUGAUAAAAAAGUUUGCGACCUCGAUGUUGGAUUAAAAUUUAAUUUUGGUGUAGAAGCUAAAUAUUUAGGUCUGUUCGACCUUUAAAAUUUUACAUGAUCU